rnacentral:tRNA from 1 species
GGCGGGUUGCCCGAGCGGCCAAAGGGAGCAGACUGUAAAUCUGCCGGCUCUGCCUACAGUGGUUCGAAUCCACUACCCGCCACAA